CAAAGAGAAGCGAAGCGGUGACGUGGAGCAAACCUCAGAAAGCCAAUCUCAGUUCGGAUUGUAGGCUGCAACUCGCCUACAUGAAGUUGGAAUCGCUAGUAAUCGCGAAUCAGAAUGUCGCGGUGAAUACGUUCCCGGGUCUUGUACACACCGCCCGUCACACCACGAGAGUUUACAACACCCGAAGUCAGUGGCCUAACCGCAAGGAGGGAGCUGCCUAAGGUGGGGUAGAUGAUUGGGGUGAAGUCGUAACAAGGUAGC
rnacentral:rRNA from 1 species